rnacentral:rRNA from 1 species
CAUGCAAGUCGAACGAAGCACUUAUCUCUGAUUCUUCGGAUGAAGAGGUUUGUGACUGAGUGGCGGACGGGUGAGUAACGCGUGGGUAACCUGCCUCAUACAGGGGGAUAACAGUUAGAAAUGACUGCUAAUACCGCAUAAGACCACAGAGCCGCAUGGCUCAGUGGGAAAAACUCCGGUGGUAUGAGAUGGACCCGCGUCUGAUUAGGUAGUUGGUGGGGUAACGGCCUACCAAGCCAACGAUCAGUAGCCGACCUGAGAGGGUGACCGGCCACAUUGGGACUGAGACACGGCCCAAACUCCUACGGGAGGCAGCAGUGGGGAAUAUUGCACAAUGGGGGAAACCCUGAUGCAGCGACGCCGCGUGAGCGAAGAAGUAUUUCGGUAUGUAAAGCUCUAUCAGCAGGGAAGAAAAUGACGGUACCUGACUAAGAAGCACCGGCUAAAUACGUGCCAGCAGCCGCGGUAAUACGUAUGGUGCAAGCGUUAUCCGGAUUUACUGGGUGUAAAGGGAGCGUAGACGGCUGUGUAAGUCUGAAGUGAAAGCCCGGGGCUCAACCCCGGGACUGCUUUGGAAACUAUGCAGCUAGAGUGUCGGAGAGGUAAGUGGAAUCCCCAGUGUAGCGGUGAAAUGCGUAGAUAUUGGGAGGAACACCAGUGGCGAAGGCGGCUUACUGGACGAUGACUGACGUUGAGGCUCGAAAGCGUGGGGAGCAAACAGGAUUAGAUACCCUGGUAGUCCACGCUGUAAACGAUGACUACUAGGUGUCGGGGAGCAAAGCUCUUCGGUGCCGCAGCAAACGCAAUAAGUAGUCCACCUGGGG